GCAUAGCCCCGUCGGCAGAGCAGGAGACUCUUAAUCUCCAGGUCGUGGGUUCGAGCCCUGCUGGGAAGUUUCU